UACGUAGGGGGCGAGCGUUGUUCGGAAUUACUGGGCGUAAAGGGCGUGUAGGCGGUGCGGUAAGUCGGGCGUGAAAUCCCCGGGCUUAACCCGGGGCGGUCGUUCGAAACUGCCGUGCUAGAGUGCAGGAGAGGGAAGUGGAAUUCCCGGUGUAGCGGUGAAAUGCGCAGAUAUCAGGAGGAACACCGAUGGCGAAGGCAGGUCUCUGGGCCACUACUGACGCUGAGAAGCGAAAGCAUGGGGAGCGAACAGG
rnacentral:rRNA from 1 species